CUCCGGUUGAUCCUGCCGGACCCGACUGCUAUCAGAGUGGGACUAAGCCAUGCGAGUCAACAUAGCAAUAUGUGGCAUACGGCUCAGUAACACGUAGUCAACAUGCCCAGGGGACGUGGAUAACCUCGGGAAACUGAGGAUAAACCGCGAUAAGUCACUACUUCUGGAAUGGGUAAUGACUCAAAUCUACAUGGCCCCUGGAUUGGACUGCGGCCGAUCAGGCUGUUGGUGAGGUAAUGGCCCACCAAACCUGUAACCGGUACGGGCUCUGAGAGGAGGAGCCCGGAGAUGGGCACUGAGACAAGGGCCCAGGCCCUAUGGGGCGCAGCAGGCGCGAAACCUCUGCAAUAGGCGAAAGCCUGACAGGGUUACUCUGAGUGAUUUCCGUUAAGGAGAUCUUUUGGCACCUCUAAAAAUGGUGCAGAAUAAGGGGUGGGCAAGUCUGGUGUCAGCCGCCGCGGUAAUACCAGCACCCCGAGUGGUCGGGACGUUUAUUGGGCCUAAAGCAUCCGUAGCCGGUUCUACAAGUCUUCCGUUAAAUCCACCUGCUUAACAGAUGGGCUGCGGAAGAUACUAUAGAGCUAGGAGGCGGGAGAGGCAAGCGGUACUCGAUGGGUAGGGGUAAAAUCCGUUGAUCCAUUGAAGACCACCAGUGGCGAAGGCGGCUUGCCAGAACGCGCUCGACGGUGAGGGAUGAAAGCUGGGGGAGCAAACCGGAUUAGAUACCCGGGUAGUCCCAGCUGUAAACGAUGCAGACUCGGUGAUGGGUUGGCCUCGCGCCUGCCCAGUGCCGCAGGGAAGCCGUUAAGUCUGCCGCCUGGGGAGUACGGUCGCAAGACUGAAACUUAAAGGAAUUGGCGGGGGAGCA
rnacentral:rRNA from 1 species